rnacentral:rRNA from 1 species
AGCGAACGCUGGCGGCAGGCCUAACACAUGCAAGUCGAACGGACCCUUCGGGGUUAGUGGCGGACGGGUGAGUAACACGUGGGGACGUGCCUUUAGGUUCGGAAUAGCUCCUGGAAACGGGUGGUAAUACCGAAUGUGCCCUUCGGGGAAAGAUUUAUCGCCUUUAGAGCGGCCCGCGUCUGAUUAGCUUGUUGGUGAGG